CCCAAUUGCCUGAGUAUAAGGCUCUGCAAUUAACAUACUUCCAGCUGUCCCAUAUGGUUCUUUCCUAUGUUCCUCCUUGUAUUACCCAUUCCUUUAACCAGAUCCAAGCACAACUAUGUGUUCUAGUUCUUAGUAGGUUUGGAAUUUUUCAGAGUUAAAUGCUGUGUAUCCAAACAGUAAAAUUAAGUUUAAAGAUUUAACUGAAGAUCCAAAUACAUUGCUCUUUCACCUUGCUUUUACCUAGCCUGCUUCCCCAUUUAUUCAUACUUUUGACCAUGCUUUCCAUUGCAGCUCUGAAGAACAAGGCAUUUUAUUUCAUUCCCUUCUUUACAUGGGAGAGUCUGUUGCCUCUCCAGUUGAUCUUUCUUAAUUUUUAAAAGUAUCACAGCAAGAAAGGAAGCUAUUUAUUAUACCAUACCCAUUAAGUUUCCAUGUAAACUUACCCAAAGGAGGAAAGAGGCAUGGUCUUUGUACUGGGAGCAGAGGUAAUGUUUGAUUUCUACUAAGCUGAGGGCAGAGGAGGUUCCCUAUAACAGGAAGAGAAGGGGAGGCCAGUGAACAAGGCAGACUCCUGUGCAGCUCAGUAGUACUGGCUAUUCGGAAGACCUUGUGAGAUUUUCUCCAUCUUGUACACCUGUGGAGCUCAGGGAACACAACCUUCAGCUGUUUUUCACAGCUUUGGUCUUUUUACUGGUGUUCUUAACUAUCUCAUCUCUUAUGGAAGGAGCUCUAAAAGGAGAGUCUAGAGCAGUACUGUAUUUCUGUCAGAAUAAGAUUGUUUUAAUCUGUGUCAAUAAAAACUUGUUUGGUUACAUGCAGGCAAAUGCAUACGACAGACCAAUCUACUGUGCUUGCCAACCUCAGCCAGGAUCCUGUACAGGAUGCCGCAGCAAAAAGAGUAAAGCUACAGUAGCAGAAUGUCUUGUGAUAGACUGCAUGUACCACAUGUUGGCUUCUAAAUUCAUAUAAAUAGAGAUUGUCUGAAGACAAAGGCAUUUCAGAUUUUGAUAAAUGACCAAUGUAAAUGCAUUAAAUAUUUCCUUUUCUGUGUAAAUAUCUGGUUUUGUACUGAGUCCUUGUAAGCUUAACAAAGUCAUGGGUUGUUGACUUUCACAGCUUAAUUCUGUGUUGAAUAAUAAAAGCAUUUCCUCUUUCUUAUGUAUUAUGCAAAAGUGUAAACAGAAGUGCUUGAAAGUCUUUGCUUUUCUGUAAUUUCCAAUAUAUGUUUUUUUAAAUUGUUCUCUAAAUUCUAUUGUUGCAUUGUAUCUGAGGCUGAAACAAGUAUUUGAUGAGAAAUUGUUACAUUUCUGUACAAUAUAGUGAAAUAUUUUAAUUGCUAGUUUCUAUCUCAUAUCUUAGACUUACGCCUUGUGUUAUCCCCUCCUGUUUCAUUGUGCCGUCUACAAUUAGACCCACAGCUGGUUCUUUCCCUCAAUGGUUGUACUAAUUUAUAACCCAUUAGAGCGUAUGAAUAGAUCAUAUUGUUCCUUUCAUACUGGCACAAGGAAGUGUAAAUUAAGUUUUUGUAUGCCAGCAAGGGAGAAGUCUACCCAAGGAUAGAGUUAGCUUCCUAUUUUUAAUUUCUCCAAUAAAUGCAGUUGGAAAUAAAAGUGUUGUAUCUGCAAAUGUUUUCAAUUUCUUAAAGAAUAAAAUUAAUGCUUGAUUUAUAAUUAUUUUUGUGUAUACCUCUACUUAAAAAAUAUUGUGAAUAUUGGCUGCUUUGAGAGGUAAUUAUAUUUGGGUAAUGUUUGUCCACUUAAAGCUGACAUUAAGCAACGUAAUAGUCCUUGUUGUAGCUAUCUGAUGAUACAACCCCCUGGGUAGGAAAACAAAAAUGAAUUUAAAAAGAGCCUCUGUAGAUUUUAGAGUCUAAUAUAAAAAUACUUUCUCCCAUAAACUUCUACAACUGUUUGAAUCUGUCAUAUCAAUGCUCAAUGCUGUUAAUCUUUUUUCCUUAUUUUCUAUCAAAACCCAUUGUUACCAGCUCUCUCCAGCCUCCUACCAAAGAAAUUAUCCACUCUCCCAUUCUGCUGUGGUAAGAAACUGAGACACCUGGCAAG